rnacentral:rRNA from 1 species
AACGCUGGCGGCAGGCUCACACAUGCAAGUCAAACGGUAACAGGAAGCAGCUUGCUGCUUCGCUGACGAGUGGCGUACCGGUGAGUAAUGUCUGGGAAGCUGCCUGAUGGAGGGGGAUAACUACUGGAAACGGUAGCUAAUACCGCAUAAUGUCGCAAGACCAAAGAGGGGGACCUUCGGGCCUCUUGCCAUCGGAUGUGCCCAGAUGGGAUUAGCUAGUAGGUGGGGUAACGGCUCACCUAGGCGACGAUCCCUAGCUGGUCUGAGAGGAAGACCAGCCACACUGGGACUGAGACACGGCCCAGACUCCUACGGGAGGCAGCAGUGGG